rnacentral:sRNA from 1 species
UGGGAUCUCUAACUAACAUUUUGGUUUUUAACCAAGCCAAAGGGUGUUCUGUGAUUCGUGUAGCUGAUAUCAUCUAUCUAGUGGGAUAACAUUUCAUUGUUUAAUAAUACAAAACGAUUUUGAAAUUACUGAGGAUGUUAUUGAUUGCAAAGUACCUAUCAAACCUACAGCCAAAUUUAUUGUACUAUAGUAUAUCCAGCUAUACUACACGAGAGAAAGGUUGGGUAACACAUGAUAAUGUUACAAUGGAUGUGUAGCUAUACAAGCAACUAUGAAAUAUGGAGUGAUUAUAUAUAAGAAAAUUUUUUGUGUAGCACCAAUUGAAGAAAAUGGACAAUCCUUAAAGGUAGUUUGAACACAGAAUUGUCAAAUUGUAGGUUUUAUAGUCCCAUGAAAAGUAGCGGGAGACAAAUAAAGAGCGUUGGAGUAAGUCAUCAAGGAAGAUCUCACGCUAAACAAUAUUUUUGUACUCUUGUGUUUUAAUCGUGCUGAAAUGAUUUAGUGUGAUUCAUGUAGUCAACAUCACUUAAGUGGGAUAAAGGGUUGUACUUAGAAGAAAGGGCACUGCAAAAAAAAUCUAGAAAACCUUUAUUUCAUGGAACGUUG